GUGUGCUGGUGCGGGACAGGAGCGCGAGCCGGGGGAGAUGGGGGCUCCUCCCGGGCUCUUCUUUAAACGAGGGCUCCUUGCCUGAACUCGGGCUCCAUAUGCGACGCCUAACAGCAUACACGCCCUUUAAAACCCAGCAAGGGCCGCGAUCGGAGGAACUUUUUGAGAGGAAAUAUAGAAUUGCCAGCUUGUCUGGUAAAUCACCUGUCUGAAGAUAACGGCAUUUUAACGAGGCGAGUAGACAUUUCGGAACACUCCCCGCUGCUUUUUCCCUCUGCGAGAGCCAGGAGGAGGCAGACGGUGUGGAAGCGCACGGCGAAGGCAGCGGCAUGAGCGCGGUGCUUUAAACCGUGGGUCGCGGUGCGCUGUGCGGGGCCGAGUGCCGCUCGGCCCCGGCGAUAACCGGAGAGGAGCGCGUUCGCAGGGAUAACUCAGCGUCUGCCUUCCGUGAGGCGGCACCGGCGCGAUUUUCAUCUUGGCCGUGCGCCAAACGCAGUGUCGUGGCGCCUGCUUAUUCCUCUCCCCGUGCUCUGGAGUUGUGGGCUUCGUUCUGCUUGCUUUCUGUAAAAUAACCAUUUGAAAAUGUCUUGUUUUAACGUUGGAAUUAACCUAAAACACCCUAAAAACGUUUCUAGCAAUACUACCAUUCAAAAGGUUGAUCUGGGAUGGAGACCACUACAUUAGCUUUCCUUCAAUGCAGAAAUACGUAAGGCAUUUCUUUUGCAUUAUAUUGUUUUUUGGUGCCUUGUCCUUUAAGCCAGGAUAGUUCCAGAGACAUGAAAUGACAACUUCUUUUUUGGACCAUGAUUCUAGAUGCCAGUUGGAUUGCCCUUCUCCAGUGGACAGGUUGCCAGCCUGAGAGGAAUGGUGAGGUGCUACAGACACGUCAGCAGGACACGUGGUUUUGCACUGCAGGGUAAUCACCACACAGCCUCAUGUCUCUUCUCCACUUUUCUGCUGCAGGUUCUGGUUUCAUUUUUAUUGUGUACUGAAUUUUGUAUUUAUUUUCAUGGGACUCUGAAUGAAGCCUGAACUUCUAUGUUUUUGAGAGGAGAAUCCAAAAAAGAAAAGUAAGCAACUUACCCCAGGUUAUUUCCUAAGGUAAAUUAGAACAAUGAAGUUAAGUACCAUUUCAUUUUCUGAUGUUUCAGUGUUGUAAUGAAUGAGCAAAUUAGGUUGCCAAAAUAUGACUAAUUCACACAUUAUAGUAGUCUUUACAUGAUAAGUUGUUGGAAGAGCUAAAACCAUAUACCUUUAAACACUGAGAAACAAGAGUAAGAGGAGACUCAGGAACCUCAGAGCAGAAUAUAAAAUGAUGCUGCUGCAGCUGGAACUCAUGCUGAUUCUGUGUAUUGUACAGAAAACACCAUCAUAACAAUAAUAAAAAGAAGAUAAGCAACUGAACUGUGAAUUCCAGGUUCAUUUUUCAGUUCUACCUAACUCUUUGUAACUUUACAAUGAAAGAUUCAGAAAUUGGAGCCAAUUACCAUAAUAUGUGGUGGUUUGGUGGGAGCAUGUUCUACAUCAGACAGUUAAAAGGUUUUAUUGCUAUUAGGAGCUUGUUAAUGCCCUUGAUAAUGUCUUUAGUUGCUUUGUAAUGUCUCUUGUUGAAGUAUAGAAUUCUUUUAUCUUCUUAUUACAUUAUGCAGAAACUUGAAUUGAAACGAUAUUUGCAGGAACAUUUAAAGUAGUGCAUCAAUCAGUUUCAAAGAAGAGAAAAUGUUCUCAGAAUAGGUUAUAAAAGGAUAACUGUCAGUUUUAUUUUGGAUGAACAAAGAAACCAACGUAAAAAGCACUUUAUUGUAAAAGCAUACUGUGCAAUUCAAUAAAUAUUCCAUAUAAAUAUAAAGGAAAAGAAAGUUCAUAAUUAUCUGAUGGCUUGAAUAUAAUUUAAGUAAUACUUCCAGAAUACAGCAAGCAGUGAAGCCCCUUCUUCUUUCUUGUGUAUUCUACCCCCAGCUCAAGUCCUCAGUAGGAGAUAGUUUAAAUUGACUUGUUAAUGAUUUGAAUGCUAAAAUAUGGUUAUAAUUUAACAUUAUCUUGCAGGGAUGUAAACCUCCUCACAAAACACCUCACCACAUGAGAAAAAUAGCAGUAGCACCUUUCCUCACUCUCCUUGCUUUUUGUUUGUUGGGUUGGUUUUCUUCCUCAAACAUGAAUUCUUGUUGUUUGUUUUCCCGCUGGCAUUUUUUACCUGCUUUAACACAAAGUUAUCUGAGUAUUUAUACAUUUGGAUUACAAACCCUCUAUAUGAUUCGGUUAGAAAACGCUUGCACAGGGUGUUAUUAUCCAGGAAAACAGUUGCAAAUACUCUGCUCCCUGAACCAGUAGUAGCUUGCUAGACCACACAAAAUAUGGCAUGUUGCAAAUCUCAUCUUGUAGCCUGUAAACCAGAAGCAGCACGCUCCCCUUCCCCCCUUCUUUAUCUUCUAAAAAAAGAAAGGAAAAAAGAGAAAAUACCAAAGACUGCACAUAGAGAGUUGUAAAUGCUCACACGGCAAAUGUUUCCCAGAGAAAUUUGAGUCUUGUCCUUUGGAUCCAUUGUCUUUUCAGAAUCCAGUGUUCAUCCUGUGACUUCAACAGAACAGAGUAUUUCUAGUUUAAGAAAUGUAUGUUUAUUUCUGAAGAGUUUAUUAAGGCAGAGAAGUAAUUGGCUGUGAAUGCACAUAUUUUGGUUUAUUUAUUUAUUUCAGUCUAUUUUGGUUACUAAAUUCUAUGCGCAAGGGAUUUCUAACCUUUUUUGUUGGUCAUUCUGAAAGGGUAUGCAGCAUGCACCUGCAUUAUUCAACUGUUUAUUUUUCACUUCUGAAACUUUGAAAAGAUAUCUUAUUUUUAUUUAAUAAUCAUACCACAAUAAACUCACCUUGUUCAUGCCCCGUUGUCAAUUCUAACCUUCAACCUAGGUAUGUUUUUAAACUUGCAGGUGGUUUUAAAAUUGUAGGCUAUUAAAAAAAAAACUCCUGUGGGUUUUAGGAACUUACAAUAGUGAUUUCAUUGAAGUCAGCUAUAAUUGAUCAAUCAAUUCACAAUAUUCACAAUGUAUUUAAGAUGAGAUUUUAUUUCCAUGACACAUUUUACUACAUAGGACUUCCCUCCUUUAACUGCUUCCCUGUGUUUCCAGCUCUAAAGGCAGGGGUGCCAGGUGGCCUUUGCCCUCCCAGCACCUCCAUCCCCCUGCCCUUCUCUCUCCAGCCAACACCUCCCUUUUGUGGCACAGGUGUCAUUGCAGUGCCCUAAAAAGAGUUUAUUUCACAACACUCCAAGCAGCCUCUGAAGGAGCGCCUCCGUAAGUUACCGAGCUCUUGAGAAAACAGUAAUUUACAGUGAGCAAGCUGCUGGGUUGCAUGGAUCUGUGUGCUUUGCCUGGGAAAUAGGGUUCCCAUGGCAACUGCCCCACGCUGCGGGUGUGGCAUCCUGUGCAGGUGAGGCUGGCUCCCUGUGAGGUGAGCCCUCCUUGGCCCUGCACCCUGGGCUCUGCUGCAUGGGCAGCCUGCUGGGCACCUCCAUCCCUGCCUGGCUCCACACUGCUCUUCCCAAUGGGCAGACUCCUUCCCUUAACACUUGGGAACAUUAGCCCUAGGUUAGAAGCCCCAAACAAACAAAACAAAACACCCAAGGUAAACAAACAUCACGCUUUAAAAAAAUACUGCACAGAAAUCACAAUCGAGCCCAUGAUCAUCCUGGGAUCUUACCAGAAGGCACUGAUGAGAUAUGAGAUAAUCAGCUCUUUCUUUGUUUGGGAAGGAAUGUUUACUUGCCUUAAAUUUAUUUGGUUUUAAAUUCAGUUAUUAACAAAGCAGCCUUUGCUGACCUGAGUUGAGAGCAGGGGAAGAGCAAUGCUUGCUCAAGGAGAACACAUCAGAAACCUGACUUGAGGAAGACACUGAAACUAGGCAGUAAGAGCAGUUUGCACUUUAUCUGUUCCAAAAUGUAGGUUACUGUGCCAAGUGUGAUGAUGAUGGCUCUCAUUUUGCAGGAGUUCCUAGUAACUAGACCUGAUGGCAUUUCAGAGCAGGGUUUGUUUGGGAGGUGGCCAAGCUCUGCAAAUCAGGUAACACACAGGGCAUCCUUGGGAGAUGGGGGUCAAGGCUUUCUAAUCCAGAAUGGGAUAAACAUGAGAGACCUGUGGCAUAUAAAGAAUUAUACAAACAUGUAAAAUUGUUGCUAGUUGAGCUGGAAAGCCUCUUGUAACAUGUAACACUUUAAAUAUCUCUGAAGACAGGAGGAGGAAUCUGGCUUUCCUAGACAGAAGCAUUUUUGGAGGAGAAGUGGAAGAUGUUAUGAAUAGCUGUGACAAAGGCAAUGACAAGACAGACUUUUGCAUGAAGCACAGAAAGCUGAUCUAUAGGAGGAAGUGUAGUGGCUUGGGUGACAAUAGUGUGAACCAUGAAGAAUCUUAAAACUGAUGGGUGUUUUACUAUGGUAUGGCAAAAAACCAAAAAGAAGGGACAAGCAGUGGCACCCACAACACCCAUCCAAGAACAAGAGAUGUGAGAGACUCUUCCUUCGUUUGCCACUUUCUAAAUCAAAAUGGAGGGGAGGCUUUAGAAGGGAAAAACCUUUCUAAAUAGUAGCAUUGCACAGUGUUUCUUCUGGCUGCUAAUAAUGCUUCUAAAGGUGUGACCGGACUUACAGAAUGAAACCUCUGGCCCAGGUAGUGAGCAUCACAUCACUGUGACAGAACAGGGCUCAGUUCAGAUUGCAGCAGAGGAGAAGUGAUGUCUUGGCAGAAGAAUUGAGUGGGAAGUGACAGCUCUUGCUGUAAAAAAGCAGAGAGUGUCUAAGAGUUAAAAUAGAUUCUUUUCUGAAAUGCCCAUGUAGCUUCAAUAGCUCCACAGGAGUUUUAGGAUUACAAAUGACAGCAAAAUUUGUGCCAUUCUGCAUAAUUGUAUUCUCUACAAAGAAAGUUUCCUACAUCUCCUAGCAAAGACGGUACUUUCAUUAGAAGGAAAAUAAUUUCAAAAUUACAUCUCUUUGUGCCAAGGAUUAAAAAGAUCUAACAAGGAGUUCUAAAAAAAAAAAAAGCAUUUACAUUGAAUCCUUUGGUUUUACAGGUAGAAUAAUGACAUGAAAAUAAAAGAAAAUUUUAAUUGGUGAAGAGAAGGGGAAACAUCCUAGUUCCUGACUCGUCACUAUGUUCAUCCUCUCUUGCAGCUCCCACCAUUUUCACUCACAAUAUACAGGACUAUAUUUGUCUUUACUGAGGUUCAGCUCUGUUAAAAACAAUCCAGUUCUAUCUCUCUGCUAGUGUAAGAUUUCAGCCUUCCUUAACACGAGUCUCUGACAGACAAGGAACCCAGAAUGUCUUGGCUUGGCAGUGGUUCAAUCCUCCAUAAUUUUGUUAAUUUAAAUGUAGUCACAGGCUGCAGUCUCAGGAAAUGCCAGCUCUUUUUGCCCCACCACAGCCUAGAAACUCUCUGUGAUGGCUCUGCUGUCAUAGCUGGAGAGCACAAACCCUCUGUGCUCAGCUCGCAGUUCCGACUGCCAUGUAUGGACAUUUCUAAUUACUUUGGAGGCGCUCCAUUUUGUACUGCAUGCAUAAUUAGUUAGUUAUUUACAUUUUAUUUCAGCAUUUUUCCUAGCCCGUACACUAAUGAAAUCCCGGCGUGACAUCAGAACCUUCCUGCUGAAGUGGGUCUUCCCUUCAGGGAUCAGCCACCCUUUUAAAUUAAUGAGCCGCUUACAGAAACAGCUUCAUGAUUUUAUGUGCAGUGUUUGCAAGGAAAUUUAUAAAUGGUCUGACUCCUUUCAGAUCCAAAAUCUGUUGAAAUUAAAAGAAAAUCUCCCACUAGUAUUGCAUGCUUUGGGUCAUCUCUUAUGUGAAUUUUUUUUUCUUGUGUAUUUACCAUAACUCAGUUAGGGAAAAGGGUCCUCCAUCUUUCACAUAGAGAAGCAGAUGUACGGGUGGGAAGGAAGAAAAAUGGAUGUAAGGAAGCUAAUUACCACUGGAGUCCCCAAAAGUAUAAAGUGGCCUGUAGGUAUGCUCAUCUUCUCUCUCCUCGUCCUGGUUUGCUCACUGAGCAAGCUUGUCUCGAAGGCAGCACUUUCCCUUGGCUGGAGCAGGAGGACACCAGCUGAUGUGUUUGCAGCAGCCACCUCUCCCUUAUGCUUUCUUGCCUAUUCAAGAGUCCAGCCCAGUGUGGAAAAAGAGCAAAACUGCCCAGAGAGGCAGCCCUUAUGCUGAAAGCCUGGGAGAGCAACAUCACUGCUGACUGCAUGACAGAGUGUAUUUAUUAAAAGUCUAGCAAUUGCACAUUCCUGAAAUUGCAGAUUUUUACUCAACUGCUUGUGAGCCUGGGGGUAUGCAACAGCUGUUUAUCAUUGUACUCUGAUGAAACCCUGAUAAAGAUGAAACUGCUGCAAAGAAAUGUGGCCUUACAGUGGGAAACUAAAAUUUCAGAAAUCAGACAGCUCCAAGAAUAAAUGAAAUAAAAGUUUAAAUGACAAGAUCCAGCCAUGGUCAGAGGUGAUGAUGAGGAGCAAAAAAAUUGACACAGGCAUCGUUUGAAAGGACAGAGAGGAAGAAAAUCAAGCUCCUGCUUUUCAGGCAAGACAGUCAGUGAGGCAUUAAAGAUACAGUAGUAAAUAAUUGUUUUGUCAUUGCGUUCCUUGCUGCAUGAGACCAGGGUUUGCAUUUUGCUUUUGCUUGAAAUAUAUACAGCACAUGAUAUAACUGGGCAUUAAUAAGCAAUGAGCAACCUUUUUUUUUCCUUUGUCAUAUAUUUAUUUGUAGAAUAGUAUUGACUUCACUGUCUGCAUAUAGAGAACAACAACUCUGUUAUGUCUUUCUGACAAAUAUCAAACAUUAGCUGUACAGAUACAGUUGUUUUUACUUUAUUUCCCUGUCUUGUUUUUUGGUCUUUUUUCUUAAUGUAAGUAAUGGAACAAUGUCCUUUUACAGUAAAUGGUUCCUUUGCUGAAUAUGUCACACAGUCAUUACUCCCUGCAGGGUUAAAAACAAUGCAGAAAACUACCUACAGGAUCAGAACAUUGCCAGCAAAGCAAAGUGAAAAGGAACUGUUAGAAUAACUAGAAAACAUUUUCCACUGCUGGCAAAAGUACCAAAAUUGUAUAAAAAUUAUUAUGAAAAAUAAAUUAGUUUUACAACAAAGCCUCAUGGUAAAGAAUUGUUAAAAUAGUCCCAGAAUAUCAGGAGAACUCAAUAUUGAGAUAAAAUGGCUAAAAGCUACCAAAUAAAAGCUUGAUACCAUUUGAUGUAUAAAUGCCAAACUAGACAUAAACAAUAACUUGAAUUACACUAAUCUUGGAAGAAGAAGCAAAAAUAUUAUUGAAUAAAUUAAUAUAUCAAGGUUGUUCUUGAAUAAGAAUAAAGCAAUUCUUAUUACUAAUAGAGAUAUGCCUAGACAUCCUGGCUUACAACAUGAAUCUCACUAUGCCAGGUAUUGCUCAAAAAUAAGGUAAAGCAGUGACCUAAUUCUAAACCAAAAUUUAGAAUACAGGAGAUAGGUGUAGUUGAGCCAGCAUCAGUACAGUAGGGUCUCAGCAUGGGUGGUUUCUUUAUUUUUUCUCUUUGAAGGAAGUAAAUCAAAGGAGUUUUAAGAAAACUAGAGAUAUUUAUGAGCUGCUAGCACUGUGCAUGAGGAACAGUUAGAAGGAAGUAGUGUAUCUUUGGAAAUGUAACAAGUAGAAGACAGGUUAAAAAUACCUCCAUUCCAUAUUUUUACUUAUCAGCUUUCGCUAUAAUUUUUUUUUAUUUGUAUCACGAAAGGUGAGAUUUGGCUCACUGUUAAAGUGAUGCUAAUUUACAGGAUCACCAAAUCAUGGAGUGGAUGAGAUGGGCUGUCUGGAGCCCAUCCAGUCCAGUCUCCUGCUCAGCACAGGGUGAGCCACAGCAGGUUGCUCCAGACUGUAGCCAGCUGGGUUUUAAAGAUCUCCAGGAAUGGAGACUCCACAUCUUCUCUGGGCAGCCUCUACUUAUGUUUGAUCACUCCCACUGUAAAAAAACCCAAACCAACCAACCAAUUUUUUUAUGAUUAAGUGAAAUUAAUUGUAUUUCUGCUGCUCAUCCUUCCACUAGGUAUUACUAAGAGUUUGGCUCGGUGGUUUUUGUUCCUUCCCAUUGAAUAUUUACAGGCACUGCCGUUGGGUCUAAUUGUGUGUAAACUAAAGAGUUUUGAAGGGACAGUCAUCCUUCUUUUCAGAGAAUUUAGUUAAUGUUGAAAAUUGAAAACUCAGGAGUUUUGUUCCUGUUGCUGUCUUCUUCCUUGCUGUGGAAAACUGCAAACCAUAGAGUGGUUUCUGUUUCUCUUCCUAUGGCACUUUAGCCCCUUUCCUAACCUGAGAUCUGCAGAGGGAGGCUGUUGUUAUGAAUGUCAGCAUUUGCCACUGAGGACAGUGGCACUUUGGGAGCUCAGGCCUGGCAGGGUUUGGGUCUGGACCCCACAGGAGGGUCUGGAUGCAGCCUGGUUGCUGCAGCGCUUUUGAAGCCAAUGGGAAGGGGCUUGGCAAGUGCCUGGUGCUGGGUUUCUUUUGGGUGGUGCUGCCACUUGGGGUGACAUUGAGCAGCAUGGAGGGAGCAGGGUCCUCAACAGAGCAGGAGCCACCCAGGCAUGGAUGUUUGCAGCACCCCACAGCUGCUGGCUCACUCCAAGCACAAAAUGGAUGGGAAUAACUCUCAGUAGCUCCUUGCUGCCCAGGCUGGGUGCUGAUCUGCUCCCACUGAGCAAUUUGAGUCUUUAUGCUCUGAGCAUGCUGAGUCACUUUGGAUAAAAGGCUCAUUGCCCCAAAGCUGUCAGUGGAAUAAAAAUAACCAUCAUACAUAGUGAGUAACUUCUGAGGCACAUUAGGGGUCACACAGUAUUCUGUUGUUGUUCAAGAAAAGAGAAUCCUUCUUGGAGGUAACAUUACCAUUUUAGCUCUUGUGUAGUAAGCUGUGCAAUCUUGCCACUUGUGUUGUUUAGGGAUAUUUCUUCAUAACUGUAUGGAAAUACUAGCUUGGAUUUUCAGCCAGGCAAAAUGACUAGUGUUGUUGUGAAGAGAUUUGUAGCAUGUAAGAAACAGGAACCGGUAGCACUGUCCACCUGAUUAGCGUUCCAUCUUUCAAUUCCAAUUAAGUGAUAGCAAACCUGUUAACCUGAAAUUUUUGUUGGCUCUUUUGUUUGUUUGUUUUUUAAUCAAAAAAGAAAGAGAAAAAGGCAAAAAUAAAAAAGGAGUUUGGAAACUCCUUUGGAUCUUAAGCAUAGUUUUGUUGCCAACAAGCUGGGGGAUGUAGGCUGACAUGCAUCCUGUUUCUAAUAGCACACACACUGUUUCUUUAUUUAGAGCCUCUUUACCAGUAUCAAUUAAACCCCAGUUAAAUUUGACACAUCUUAACCUUGCGUUGGAUCCAAUUCAUUGCUACAGCAGAACCCAUAUGGCACUGAGACAGUUGCAGGCAUCAAUUCAUUGCUUAUGUAGAGUUACUGGCUAAAUGCCAAGCAGUAAUCACUGCUUUUUGUUAAUAGACAUGUUUGCUUUUGCAGUCGUUUCUAUACACAGUGCUCUAGAUUAAUUAGAACAAAAUCUGUCAUCCAUCUAAGAAACAACCAGAACUCUUGGGAUUUUUUUGCCUCAGAUUUAAAGAGAAAUGAAUUCUGCCUACCAAAGGUGUUGGUGGAGGAGAGUUGUUUAUUUUAUAUACUUUGUUUUUUCUAGAAUAACCUAUUUUGUCUAUUCAACACAUAAGUAUCUGCUGUUUUCUUCCAUUACUGGUGUUGCAUUUUAAAGAAAUUUUAACUUGUGAUUAUGCAGUUUUGGCCUCCCGCCCCCAGUUUGAUGCCUGAAUAAUUAACAUAGUUAAGUGAACGACUGGAUAUUGAAGUCUUCUGGUUAAAUCAUUAGCAAUUUAAGAUCAAAUUACUUUAUAUCCAGAUCUGUUUUGGUGAAUAUAUAUAUGUGAUGCCCUAUGCUAAGCGUGAAAUGCACUUGAGAGUAUUUUACUGUGCUAAAAUAGGGCAACACUUUUAAUCUAGUACAUUACAUUAUAGAAAUAUCAUAAAUUCUUUCACUAGAAAUACUUAUAUUGGUGCCUACUGUCACCAAAGUAGUUUAAGAAACCAUUUUGGGACACAUUGUUUAACCAAUUGUGUAGGCUUUAUCUCCAUAAGGAUAUUUUUGUGGUGUUUUCUUUAGGGCAACUAUUUUUUUGGCAUGAAUUCACAGUAAAAUUGUUUUGGUUACCCUGAUUUGAAAAUAAAGCUUUCUCAUACUCAGUUUUUCCAUUCAGAAAUGUGUCACAUAGGACCAGAUUAAAAAUCUACUGGGACUUUCCACUGGAUUUAUUAGGGAUUGGAUGGUGUCCACCAUCCUGAGUAAAGACCUCCGACUACUGAUUGUCCAACUACUUACUUGGCUGUUUCUUGCUAAGGGUUUAAAAUUCCCCCAUGCUGAAAGGAAGAGAUUGUGUUCAAGGACUAAUGGCAAUUCCAGCUUUCAUUUCAAGUAGCAAUGCUGUUUAUAAACCUUGAGGUAUUUCUGUUUAUAGAAGUGAUUUAAUAUGACUUAUACCUUAGCAGAGGAUCUCAUUAACUGACUCCCUUACUUCUUCCUCAGUAUUCCUGAUUUAUGCCACAUACACGUUAUAUAAGAAAACGUGUCCAUCUAUCUAUCUGUCUAUCAUAAAUAAUUUCUCUUUGUAUGAAGAGGCAGUAAAAACACCUCUAUUUUAUGGAAGUUAUUAUCUCUUUCAAAACUUUUUCCUAAUGUUGCGUUAAUGUUUUAGUAUUCCAGUGCUGUUGGUCCAUUGUUCGGAAGUACAGCUUUAUCAGCAGAAUGUGUGGCAGAUGGUUUACAUUUGCAUUAGCCUUCUGGAAAAGGAAUCAGCUCCCACCAACAUAAGCUUCAUCUUUUCUUUUCAAAAUUUACAACAAAUUCGUCAGAAUGGCAUUUUUAGAGGAAAAAAACCCAAUCCGACUGUCUUUGAGUUUCCUUUUUGAAGAGAAAAAAUGAGUCCUGUUCUAAUGCCCUCAUCUGCAUAUAUAUCUUCCGUCCCCUCCCCCAGUGUUUGUUAAAAUGAUUUAAGUAUUUCAUUAUGCAAAAUGACUUUUAUAAAAAGACCUUCCUUUUUGCCCCACAGUCAUUCUUAAUUUCGUUUGUCACUUGUUAUAGAGUGGAGUUAUGUGAAGCUAGGAUAUAUUAUUUGUUCUAGUCUGUAUGGGAUAAUUUAUUACAUUAAGAAACCAAUAAUUUUCAAAUAUAAUCAGAUUUAAGUUUUUAAUAAGAUUCAUCCUCCCAUUCACACUUGCUUAAUUUAAGGAUAUUAAAUGUGCUCAAGAAUGAGCUGCCUCUCAAAGCCUCAUGUGCCUAUUAAAGGAUUUUAUUCCUGAUGUGUUAAUAGGAUUUAAUUACAUUACCCCUAUAGUCCAGAGACACACUACAAUUGUUAAACUUGAUAAACUGGGCAAAUACAUCCUAAAAGAGUCAUGGCCAGCUCCUCAAAAAGAAAAAAAUUACAAGGUGUUAAUAUUUUAAUAUCUCUGCUAUGUAACUACAGGUUUGCAUAAUGCUGAAAUUUUAAAUAUUGAAUGUUUAACAAAUUUUUAAUACUUUUUUUCUCACAAAAAAUUAAAAUCAAGGCUAAUGCAGAAAUUAAUAAAGAUUUCUAUUGAGUGUU